rnacentral:rRNA from 1 species
UACGUAGGGACCGAGCGUUGUCCGGAUUCAUUGGGCGUAAAGAGCUCGUAGGCGGCUGUUCAAGUCGAACGUGAAAACUCGGAGCUCAACUCCGAGCCUGCGUUCGAUACUGGACGGCUAGAGUCUGGUAGGGGGAUCGUGGAAUUCCUGGUGGUAGCGGUGGAAUGCGCAGAUAGUCAGGAGGAACACCGAUGGCGGAAGGCAGGUCUCUGGGCUGACACUGACGCUCAUGCACGAAAGCGUGGGGAGCAAACAGG